rnacentral:lncRNA from 1 species
GAUGGCGAGAACGACACGGGAUGCGCGAGGACAGGUGCCGUAGAGCCUCUGUAUAGAACUCACACUUCACAGCCAGACGAGCUCUUCGAAACAGGGAUACGACAGGGCAGUUGGCAUCAGAACACAGGAAACACGCUCGAGAGACACUUCAGAGGUCAUCUGAGGAGGGAGGAGGGGAAGCAUGACAAGGGAGCGCUGCGAUUUGGGGCGCCGGGAUCCGUAGGGACAGUGACGGCAUGGAGGAUCCAGUACCCGAGAGCGAUUACAGGGCAGAAAGAGACGAAGCAGAACGUCUGCCUGGAGGUGCAUAUGGUGAGACUCAAACUGCUUUGCAAUGCUCCUUGGAUAGAGUCUUUUUACCUGACUGUGUCUUCUUCUCACACUCUAACUGAAAAUCACUAAUGUUAAUUAUAUUUUUCUAUAUUUCUCUGUGUUUAUUCUCUCAUUUAAAAGCACAUGCAGAUUGUUUUGAUGCGGCAGUGUUCACCAUAAAUUAUGAGCAUGAAUACCAAGUAUUAAUAUAUCUAUCAUUGUUGUGUUGUCAUGUCUUUGCGUGUAAAGUAUGUUUAAUAUAUACUAGUGAAGCACUGUGAUUUCUAAAGUCAUUUUGAGUAAUAUUCACUACUUCACUUUGCCAUUACCAUUGUUUUUUAUACCGAAUUAGGCCUAUGUGACUAAAUGUAUUGUUAUGCAGAGUACAUGAAGGUACAUCAUCCAUGGAGUUCCAGCAACUUUUUCAAAAAAUGUUUUGACAAAACAAUUGUAUUUAUUUUUACUUCAUUAAAAAUACUUUUUAAUAGUUCACUGUAAGGUGGUGGACAGUACACAUACCAUUAAAAACCAUUUGAUUCUAUUUAUGUCUUUUUGUACAGAUGUGUACUGUAUAUCACAUACAGUAAUAAAUAAACAUAUAAGCUCCCUAUAGACGUAGAC